rnacentral:rRNA from 1 species
GACGAACGCUGGCGGCGUGCCUAAUACAUGCAAGUCGAGCGAAUCAUUGGGAGCUUGCUCCCGAUGGUUAGCGGCGGACGGGUGAGUAACACGUGGGCAACCUGCCUGUAAGACUGGGAUAACACCGGGAAGCCGGUGCUAAUACCGGAUAAUCCUUUUCCUCUCAUGAGGGAAAGCUGAAAGUCGGUUUCGGCUGACACUUACAGAUGGGCCCGGGGCGCAUUAGCUAGUUGGUGGGGUAACGGCUCACCAAGGCGACGAUGCGUAGCAGACCUGAGCCGCUGAUGUGUCACACGGGGACUGAGAUAGUUCGCGUGGUCCGACGGGAGGCAGCAGUAGGGAAUCUUCCACAAUGGGCGAAAGUCUGAUGGAGCAACGCCGCGUGAGCGAUGAAGGCCUUCGGGUCGUAAAGCUCUGUUGUUAGGGAAGAACAAGUACCGGAGUAACUGCCGGUACCUUGACGGUACCUAACCAGAAUUCUACGGCUAACUACGUGCCAGCAGCCGCGGUAAUAC